UUUGUCCUCAUUUUCUUCCCUUCAUGGCUCCAUAUUCACUCUUCUCAAACCCUUCUGUGCCGUCGUGUCUUCCUCCGCCAAAUCUCUUCCUACUUCCGUUGUGGUCCCCGCAGCGAUGCCUGGUUUUGACUCUCCCAACUAGGGGUGGUCGGCCAAGCACGUGAGGGACACUUUCUUUAAGUUCUUCGAAGAAAAGUGCCAUGUCUAGUGGCGGUCCAGUCCCGUUGUUCCAUUCAAUGACCCUAGCCUAUUGUUCGGCAACGCUGGAUAAGUUGAGGGGGAGAGAACGGGAGCUCUGGAAAAGGAAAGAAAGAGAAGAGCAUGAAAUGGAAAGGGUGUGGGUGAAAAUCCAAAGAAAGGAGGCAAUCACUUCUUUUCAGGCUUUACUUGUGGAGACAACCAAAAACCCUUAUGCACCAUGGACGGAAUCUAAGCAUAAGCUAGAAAAGGAUCCUCAAGGACGUGAACUAAUCCUGAUAUAUAUCUAGCUGACACUGAAAAGCUCUUUCGGUAACAUAUCAAGUUACUUCAGGAGUAAGUAUUACUAGCAGUCAUCUUACAUCAACAAUGGAUGGUGUUGGAGCAUUUUCAAUCCAUUAGCUAAUUAUAUAGCUAAGACGAUCCAUAUAUAUAAAGACCAAGAUCUGGCAUUGAGAUUAAUGUCAGCUUAACAUUGCUCUUUAAAUUCAUAAUUAAGCUAUUAUAUUAUUCAUAAUUAAUCUCUAUUGAGCAAGCUCAGCAAGAAACGUUUAUAUAACUAUAUAAGCCUAGAGAAGGCAAGAAGAAGAGUCUCUGCCAAUUUAGACAAACAAUUAAGGAAAUGUAGAAGAGUAUAGUUGGAUCAAUUGUGCUAUUUUUUAAUAUGUUUAAAUAAUUAAA